CCGGCACGGUGAGUAACACGUAUCCAACCUGCCGUCUACUCUUGGCCAGCCUUCUGAAAGGAAGAUUAAUCCAGGAUGGCAUCAUGAGUUCACAUGUCCGCAUGAUUAAAGGUAUUUCCGGUAGACGAUGGGGAUGCGUUCCAUUAGAUAGUAGGCGGGGUAACGGCCCACCUAGUCAACGAUGGAUAGGGGUUCUGAGAGGAAGGUCCCCCACAUUGGAACUGAGACACGGUCCAA
rnacentral:rRNA from 1 species